rnacentral:lncRNA from 1 species
GAACCCAAACGUAGCCAUAGUGCCUGGCCAUUAUGCUUCCUUAUAAAAUCUAAGCAUACCCCGGCCCCGUUUUAAUGGGAACACAGCAGCUCAUGUGAAUAUCAUUAGAAAAACAAUAAACCCUCCCUGCAUCCCUUUCACUCUCGUACUAUUAAGUAAGACCAGGCCUUGAUUAUGAAGCACUGGCAAUUCUGUCUGAGAGCAAAGCAAGUAAAUGCCAUUCAAAUGAAAUGGAGAUGACAGUUCCUAAAGGCCUUCCAGUACGCAAUGACAGCAGUGGUCAAAAGCAGGAGAAUACUGGGAGGAACUGGGAGAGAAGGACUUUGCUUGAGAAAAACAGCAAUGUGGAGUUUGACCCAAAGUCUUAGUAACUAAAAAAUAUUUGACUCCCAAAUACUCCCGCUCUCUUCCCCUCCGCAAUUAGAAAUUUGUAUUUCAAGAGUCCUUACUCAUUCCUUCCUGCCUGCCUUUCCCCGCUGUUGUAACACCAGCUGCUUAGAGGAGAAGCCAAGAGACUCAACUCCCCAAGGAACAACUUGAAGCUACUUUCUAGUUCUCCACAGGCCUUGGAUUGAUCUCCAGGGAGAUCUGGGAUGUUUUAAUGUGAGAGUGGAGAGAUUUAGAUCUUGCCACUGUAUGUCAUGUGUGACUGAGAACACAGACCCAGCAUCCUGGGGAAGUACAUGCGUGUGAAAGGAAAUUUGAUCCUCUGUGGCUGAGAGGAAGGGAGGAAGACCAAAAUGGUUCAGUCAGUAUAAGCCGUGAACUUCUUUCAUCCUGAGAAGGCCGGAGAUAUCAGGGAUAAAUUCUUGUUAAGAUCCUCCAGUAGCGCAGGAACAGAGGACGAAAACAUGUUUCCACCCAGUUGCUGCCGUAGGGUGAGCACGAAGAUCACAGACUUUGCAGCCAGAGAGACAAGACCCGUGUGACUCUCAAAGUUAUGAAUGGCCCUGAGCAGUGGUUACCAUGGUAAAGACUAGAGAUUGAAACUAGGGUGGAUGGUGCCUAAGGCCACAGAGUUCAGAGUGUCCAAAGCAGCUGUCUGGGACUUAUUUGGAGGAUGAUAAAACACUUAUCUGCGCUACGCGCACUGAGUGAGUUUUGUGUUCCAUUCCCGGAAGUUACUUUGUAUUAGGAAUCAAAGUCCAGUUGGGCCUUUGGCUUUAUUAGCUGUCUUUGUAACUCUCUAGCAGAGUAGUUCCCACAGAUUCGAGACCAGCAGGCUUUGGCCCAUUGUGACUUUUCCCAUGCUUCGGGGCCCAAGAGACAUUAAACCUGCACUUGAUGGAGUUGUUUAUCCUGCGUUUUUCCCUGGACACAUACUGAAUAAAGAAAUUCUAAGACGAGU